rnacentral:rRNA from 1 species
UACAGAGGGGGCAAGCGUUGUUCGGAAUUACUGGGCGUAAAGGGCGCGUAGGCGGCCCGCUAAGUCGAACGUGAAAUCCCCGAGCUCAACUCGGGAACUGCGUCCGAUACUGGCGGGCUUGAAUCCGGGAGAGGGAUGCGGAAUUCCAGGUGUAGCGGUGAAAUGCGUAGAUAUCUGGAGGAACACCGGUGGCGAAGGCGGCUCUCUGGACCACAACUGACGCUGAGGCGCGAAAGCUAGGGGAGCAAACAGG